rfam:Macrostomum lignano uti_cns_0000366, whole genome shotgun sequence.
CUUCGCAGGUUAACCCGUGGCCUGAGUGAGGAAGGCAAUGUCCUUGCUAGUCACUAUUUGUGGCGACAUCUUCAAAUUGCGUGAAACCCGUCAUACAGCUUCAAGUACCACUUCAAUUGAGAAAUCUUUUGAAGGAACAGAGGUAACUCCUCUUCCCAAAGGUAACAAGCUUGAAGACAAAGUGGCAAUGCGCAGCCAAGCUCCUAAGUAUUUAAAUAUAAGGAGAAGGUUCAGAGAGCAGACGGAGGUGGGCGGUAAUUUAGCCGCUUAAGGUGUGCUCCAGCCUAUUUCGAAAGAUUUAG